CCUGACCAUCCCAGUCCAGUUCCUCCAGAGCUGGCUUUGACAGUCACGACCAAUCAAGACCCUGCUGUCUCCACAUCAUAGAGCUGCUGGACUGCAGGAGCAUCCCGACCAGCCCUCGUCCUGCCUGGACAUCACGGCAAGCUCUUCAGUGAGCAGGUGAUUGACGCUGAUGUCGUUUGCUCUUCCAUAGGGACAUUAAGAUGUACAACCUUGUGUUCAACACAGAGACCAUGGAGGUCAAACUGUUCGAUUUCAGUGCUGGGGACCUUCUGAAGAGCACGCCUCAAAUCUCCUUCAGUGGGACAGCAAAUUUCUGUCCUCCUGAGUACUUUGAGAAGUAUGAGUACAGCGGGAAGCUGUGA
rnacentral:lncRNA from 1 species